GGUGCUCAAAUUUAAAUAAAAAAAAAGAAGAAAAAUCCUCACUUUUACUUAACUGGAUAGAAGACACCUGGAUGCAGAAGAUUUCUCUCUACAAAAUGCUGCUACAAAAUCUUCAACCACAGAAUAAAUCACUAUAGAAAUGAUUUAGAUUUGACAAAAGAAGUCUCAUAGCUGCAUCAGAAAUCUAUCACCAGGUUGCGAUGGACUUAAUAAUGAACAAAUUCAGAACUUGGACGUCCGUCAACAUCCACUGAUGAAGGCACAACUGAAACGUUGCUGAUGAACACAAUGCUUUAUGGAUGGAGACUUUAGGGACACGCUGUACUACAGAAUCUAAUUGUAGAUUUGUAUAUAUGUUGCAGCUUGUGUGACUGAUUUCCAGGAAAAUGAUCAGGACACAAGAAAUGAAAGUAAGGUGAAUGCGUAAAAACAAAAAAUGUAAAACCAGUAAAACAGGAGUCCUGAAGCAAAACUUGUGCAACUGAUCAACGAGGAAUGUUCAAUGCCAUUACACAAUCUUAACUGAAAUUCAUAAAUAAUCUGUUAUAAACUAAAAUAUAUAAAACAUGUUAGUGAUGUAAAAUACAACUAUAGAACAUAAUAUAUAUUUUUUAAAUGAUCAAAGAAGGAGAAAAAAGACCACUGUUUUUAGAAUAUUACAACAAGAAAACAAAUAAGAGAAAGCAUUUCAAAUGCUUGCUGAAGAGAUGUGUCUCAACACAGCACAGAGAAACACCCUCAGUAAAGCUCUUCCUUCUAAACUUGGAUGAGUCAUGUCACUCUUGAAGCCUGAUGGUACGUAGGUGGGGUUUUGCCCAUAUUUGGAAUUGUUGGUGAGCUUUUGUGUUUGAAGAUGAUUGGCUGAAGACCGAUAGAAAACGAAUCGGCUUCCUUUUCUCUGUUGUAGUCGUCAGGAGGAAAUAACAGAUAAGGAAAUGGUCUUCACAUGUUCAUACUGCAACCCAAACAUGAUGUUCAUGGAUAUACUAAAUUUAUUGGGCAUAUUAUUUUUAGAUGCUCAGCCUAAUAAUAGAUCAGAUCCACCAUGGCUUAGGGAGGACAUUAUAGAGAAAUGUACUGAUCAACUAGAAUCUACAAAUGGCCCAGUAGUUUAUAGAAAUGGAGAAAUUGUAGAAUAUGAAGACAACAUGGAGCUAUUGAUUUCACAGGAAACACCUUGCAUAAUAAUCACUAAGUUUAAUGAAGGAAACUUUAGUUCACAUGGACUCGGCUGUUAUUACGGUAAUGGGAAUGUCUUGACUGCUUUACAUGUAGUUAAGGAACCAAAUUUAAAGACGUCAAAAAUACUCAUUGCUUUCCCCACUGAAGACUUUAUACUGGUCUACAGGGCUGACUUGAAAUUUCCUAACACUGACACAAAGCGAGAUCUAGCUUUUGUUAAGUUACUAGGCAACACUCAUCCACCUGGUGAUGGUUUACAAAACAAGAUUGCUGAAGUAAAUAAAAAUGAUAGAAUAUACUUUUAUACCCGAGCCCCUAAUGGGAAUUUUCAGAAGCAGGAGGGUAAAAUCUGCCGGCCAAAUUCAAGCAUGAGGCAACAAAUGGGUGAGAAUGAGUUUGUAACAUCUGUAGCAGGUAAUGAAGGAGACAGCGGUUCACCUGUUUUCAACGAUAAACAUGAACUGAUUGGUAUAUAUGUAAAAGUCUUUACACACCACAGUGGACUUGAAUAUGGCUGCUUUUCUGAAAUUUCUAAUUUUCUACAGUGGGUAUGAUUGUAGCCUUAGUAAUAGAAUCUCAAAAAUAAAAUAAAAAAUAAAAAAUAAAUAAAAAAUUAUCCUGCAGAACACCAAAAACAUGCAACACGUGAGCCAAAGCGACCCGCUGUACAGAAGCCAAGCCUCUUUUCAGAUUCGUUUCUGCUUUCUGUCGGACUAAAAAAGCUCGGAAAAAGCUGACGUCCAAGCGCAACCUGAAUCCGCUGAGUUUCACCUGAUAACAGCGAACAUUUACUACACUGGUGCCAACACCCGGGAGAUCCGCGCACAAAGAAAGUGGAAACGGACACGCAGCCAAACCCCACCACCCCCACCUGGUGCAGAUCCUGCAGUCUCCACGGCAUAAGAACAUCAUCAUCAUCAUCAUCAGGCUCUCUUACAUCUGAAGCAACAACAGCAAGAAAUCCAUCCAGAACCUGCUGGCAUGAGCCGCCCUCUAAACUCUUAUCAGUGUCUGCAGGUCAUGGAAUCCUGGUCUGGAUGAUGUGGAAGAUGAACCUGGAGAUGAUCGAGAGUGUCUGGAUGAGACUGGCUUUCAAGGGGAUCGCACUGGCUCACGUGUCUCACACACACACACACACACACACACACAGAACACCAGAACACUCAGGCUUGGCUCACUAAUACAGAAAGAGUCAGAACACCUUGGUAGAUAAGUAGAUCACCGUUAUUAACUCUCUCUUAUUACUUAUAGGGCCAUUUUCAGGUUUGUGUAUCAGUUUCUCUAUUACAUGGCAAUUUCUAAGUUCUCAAAUCAGUUGCUUAAAAAAUUUCUUUAACCCUCCUGGAAAUCUGAUGCCACAAAAUGUGUACUUGUCCCCAGUAAAUUAGACAAAUUAGACAAAAUGUCACCAAAUAUGAAAUAAAAAAAUAUAUCAAACAUAUAUUUGGAGACAUUAAACAUUGAAUGACCACAAAUUGACCCCAAGGAUAAUAGAGUUAAAUAAACUAAAAUUCUACUGAAAGCAAAAUGAUCCCAACACAAUGAUAACGUAUAGAAAAGUAGGUCUGUUGAUCUAUCGUCUAGACACCUUGUUUAAAAAAAAACUGUAUUUUACAAGAAUUUUGAUUUUGCCUAAACAAAAACAGUUUAAAAAACUAAUAAUAAACAAAAAAAAAGUGCACAUGUUGCAUGAUGCUAAGAGAUUUCUUUUUUUUUUUUUUUAAAAACUAUUUUUAAAAAAAUUUACUAAAAUUUAAUCUACUUUAAAAAAUAAAUAUAUAAAUAUAUAUUUAUUUAAAAAUAUAUAUUAUUAUUAUUAUGUUGAGGAAGGCAGGUCCAUGUAUGUAUGAUCAUCUGGAAACCAUUUCCUCCUCUAUUAUACCUGACGGCUACCCAGGGUGAGGUGCUCAAAUUUAAAUUUUCUAGAAAAAAAUCCUCACCUUUACUUAACUGGAUAGAAGACACCUGGAUGCAGAAGAUUUCUCUCUACAAAAUGCUGCUGUAAUCGUCAUCACUGCAGUCGUCACUUCGGCACAUUUAGUCCAUUUAGUCCAUUACUCUUCUCCAUCUGUGGACUGUAAUGAUUCUAAUCGCAUCAUCUGGUGUCACCCAUAAGAGGAUGGGGUCCCUUUUGAGCCUGGUUCCUCUCAAGGUUUCUUCCUCAUGUCAUCUCAGGGAGUUGUUCCUUGCCACCGUCGCCUCAGGCUUGCUCAUAAGGGAUUUUAAUCUAUAUCCAGAAUCCUGUAACAGAAAAAGAAUUGUACGAAUAAAUUUGAGCUGAAUUGA